GGUCCCUUCGUCUAUCGGCUAGGACGUUGCCCUUUCACGGCGAAAAGACGGGUUCGACUCCCGUAGGGACCA
rnacentral:tRNA from 1 species